rnacentral:lncRNA from 1 species
CAGUGUGAGAUGUUUAUGAGGUGUUAUCCGUACCUGGGAGACACGAAGAGAGGAAGAAAAACAAAGCUCAAGUGCACAGGUAAGUGACUCUAAUAAACUUUCCAAGUUCAUCACAAAGAAAUGAAGUUACUGACAUAUCGCUGUAUUUUUUCCCCCUGUAUUUUCUAUAUGAGUUUCUAGAUUUCUGCAAUUCUGUCCUUCAGAAUGUUCAUUUUAUACGGUGAUUGUGUUAAGGAGUGCCAUUGUUGCCUCUCUGAAAUGAGAAUGCACAGUAGCCAGACUGCCUGAGGAUCACUGCAGAUGAAAAGCAGGAAUGGGAGAAGGUGAGGGUGGAAAUACAUUUUGCCUCUGAAGUCAAGUAACUGGCUUCCAUCUAAGAGAAAACUGGGACAAGACAUCAUUAUGGAUCUACAGGGAAAAUGAAGGAAAAGAGAAGAGGGUCAGAGCAUCCCCAACAAAUAAAAGCUACUGGCUGUGAGCUGAGAUAAUGUCUUCUGGGGGAAUGAGGUUAUGAUCAGUGUCUGCUUCGUGUUCAGUUUCGCUUUCACCAGUGUCUUCGCUGGAGAUGGUUGGAAAAGCUGUCUUUCCAGCGUGUGUGGGAGUCAGUGCUCCAUUCCGAUGGGUGUCAGCCAGGUGGAUGAGGCCAGAAGCAAAGCUGAGAUUUACAAGCGGUUCCUGUUGGCUUGCAAGGGCGGACAGCUGGGAGGGAGAUGUGAGGAGAUGGAAGCAGGGUGAGGACUGGCCUCACUGCCUAGGUAACAGUGAUAGGAUGAGAGGUGAUGGCCUCAAGUUGCACCAGAGGAGGUUCAGGUUGGAUAUUCACAAACAUUUCUUCUGGGAAAGGGUGGUCAUGCAUUGGCACGGACUGCCCAAGGUGGUGAUGGGUUCACCAUUGCUGGAUCUGUUCAAGAACCAUGGAGAUGCAGAACUUGGGGGCAUAGUGGUCGUGGUGGGGAUGGAUCAGUGGUUGGACUUGAUGAUCUUAAAGGUCUUUUCCAACCGUAAUGAUUCUAUGAUUCUAUGAUAAACACAGAAUAGAUCUCCAGAUAGGUAUGGGUGGAGCGUUUUGGUGUUGAUGGAAGAGACUAUGGUACACUGCUCUUCCAUCUUUCUCUUUCUUACACAAUAUGAUAUGGUCCAUAUGCUCUAAUGCCUACUUUAAGCCAGAACUUGGCUUUAUUAUACUAUUACAGAAUGGCUGAGGCUGGAG